UGUGGCUAAACCACGAUAGGUCAUCGCUGCUGGAAUGGGCAAUGGCUCAAACCUACAUGGCCCUAGGAUGGGACUGCGGCCGAUCAGGUCGUUGGCGGGGUAAUGGCCCACCAAGCCUGUAACCGGUACGGGCUCUGAGAGGAGGAGCCCGGAGAUGGGCACUGAGACAAGGGCCCAGGUCCUAUGGGACGCAGCAGGCGCGAAACCUUCGCAAUAGGCGAAAGCCUGACGAGGUUAAUCCGAGUGUUUUCUGCUAAAGGAAUCUUUUGUCAGCUCUAAAUAGGCUGAUGAAUAAGGGGUGGGCAAGCCUGGUGUCAGCCGCCGCGGUAAUACCAGCACCCCGAGUGGUCGGGAUGAUUAUUGGGCCUAAAGCAUCCGUAGCCGGUCUUGUAAGUCUUCCGUUAAAUCCACCUGCUCAACAGUUGGGCUGCGGGAGAUACUGCAGGACUAGGAGGCGGGAGAGGCGAGGGGUAUUCCUUGGGUAGGGGUAAAAUCCUCUGAUCCAUGGAGGACCACCAGUGGCGAAGGCGUCUCGCCAGAACGCGCUCGACGGUGAGGGAUGAAAGCUGGGGGAGCAAACCGGAUUAGAUACCCGGGUAGUCCCAGCUGUAAACGAUGCAG
rnacentral:rRNA from 1 species